CGUCCACCCAAGCCGGUUCCCUCCGGGUCCGCGCCCGCGGAGCGAAAUCACCAGCGGGUACCUGAGGGCAGACCGCGGGCCCCGCGGUGCAUCUGGAAUUUGAUCUCUGCUCCCUGUAAUCGCCUCUAACUCCUCUCUGGCUUGGUCACCUCACGUCAGUUUGUAUCCUCUGUGACAGGAGUAAAAGGAGUAAAGGCUUUUCUGAAAAGAUUGUUAGCAGUAACUGAGGUAAAUGGAACAAGACUGAAAAGGUUCAACAGAGUCAAGAGAGUGCUGGAGGGCUCUUGCUGCCACAGGAAAAGGUUUUGUACAGGACGUGUACCGUGACUGUGUCAGUUAAACGGAAACAGUUUUAAGGAAAAACAAAUGCAAUGCCAAAUGAGAACGAGGGAGAAAAGAACUUGAGCACAGCACGAAGAAGGCGACAGAUAAGCUAUUACUGUGGAGAAUCCUGCCUGCUGUCAUUCUAAAAUAAGAUUCAUUUGCCACAAAGAAGAGGGAAUAAGACUGAUACGGAUAAAAACUUAUACCCCGUAGCCUGCUAGAAGCUAACGCACAGGGCAGGCAGCUCAACCAAAAGACACUGUGUCCAUUCCAACGGCUUGACAGCUGGAAGGGACAGCAAGGUGUCCCCGUGAUGAUUAAAGAGCCUUUGAGAACGGACAAUCCCCGUGCAACACAGUGCAGCACUCCGUGACACGACUCCAAGUGUCCGCUCCGACCUGCCAGAGCAACGCUCGUGAUCGGUGCCUGGGAACCGGGUGAGAGCAGAGCGUGGAGGAGAGGUGACCAGGCUGCGCCGCCUCUCCCCACGCCAGCUCCUCACUCAUCACCUGCUGCCCCCAGUAACUCCCGGGGAAGAGAUGAAAGUAUCAUCUCAGCGCGAGUUUCCCCUGGAGUUCAGGGGAAGCAGUCGUUCACUCCACGGGACUCUGCACACGUGGCAUCCAACAGGAGACCUAGUGUUACUAACAUGGGUCUCUAGGGGCUGUCAGAAGAGAAAGAAACAAGGAUGGUAAUUAACGACCAGAACGCUGUUGAUAGAUGCCAAUGCUUCGUUGUAAGAAUUAGCAAGGAUCAUGACAACAAAAGCCCCUCCAGAAUUAGAAGUCCUGUGCAAAGUUAGAAGUUGCACUGAGAAGAGAUGAAGCUGAUGAAAAAUGCGACUGUUGUCAGCUUCCCUGCCUGGUUUCCGAGUCACACGCAUCGACAAAUACAGUGGAUUAUCCACAAUUCUCUCUGUCUUCUUGCGCUUUACUAGAAAACAGAAAUUAGUUGUUCGACACUAGGCUUGCUUUGCUAGACAGAAAGGAGAGAGAGCCAAGUGGUUUUUCUGCUACAUCAAUGAUGAACUGAAGGAAUCGGUGACUACAUCCCUUGAUAAAUGAACUUUGCUGUUUCUCAUUAGCAAGUGUUAGCUGUAUCAGAAUACGCCCAAGAGGCGGGCAUGAGCUUGACUAGUAUUACGACAUAAUUUGCCAUGACAUCAUGGCUUACUUAUCAAACUAAAGGAAAACAGGCAUCAUAGCAUACAGUGUAGUGAAAGAAACCCAUUUAUGCAAAUAGUAAAAAGACCAGGUAUUUCUUUUGCAUCGGUCUGCUUAUAUUUAUAAAAUGUUGGCUACAAUAUCUCUACUAUCAUUUAAGAUACAAGAUUAUUUUGCUUAAAAGUUAGGCAAGGAAUAUUUAUACAUCUCUUGCAAAUAAUCUUUGCAUUUUACAAGGUGAAGAUCUAACUGCAGUACAGAAUGGGUGCUGAGCUUAGGGUUUCUUUUCAACUCUCUAAAAGUAACUUUCCUAAUACAAUGCAAAAUACUAACAAUAUACAAUAUCAAAAAGGACAAGCUAAACCCUAAUGCUUGCUGAUACUGUUCAGAGGUAGCAGGUACUCAGUCACUGUACCGGUAUCAGUAGAAGCUGCAGGUAAUAUUUUUCUCCUCUGAAAAAUGGACUAAAAAUGCAUUUUCUUGCAUUUGUGAGAGCAUGUUCCUGAGUACUGAGAUUUUCAGACUUAUUAAAAUCCCUGUCAAAUGUUAUCAUGUAAAUAUACAACCUAGGACUGACGGGUGGACACACCUGCUUUUCUUCCUGCUGUUGUGACCAGUUGUUUCACACUAGGGCUGAGAAACCUUCGAGCCACAAGUUUCACUAAAAUCCCCGUUACCGCUGAAAGGUCUCCUUGCGUAGAGCACUUUCCCAGCGACCUCUCUUGUGGCCAUUGCCUUCUCUAAGUGCUUUAAAUACUCCACCUGUGUACAGGUGGCUUUGAAAGACUCUUAAACAAGGGUAGCUGCAGGCGAUACUAUAUAAGAUUGUAAUUAAAAUGUGGUUUUAUGGCAUUUGUACAAUUACCGCAUGAGAUUUAGUUUUAGCAGGUUUACACCUCCUCACGUUCAGUUGAACAUAAGUACUUAAUUCUCAAGUAUGUCUACAGGACAGUUGUGCGUUAAUUUUUAACUUUUCACAAAAUCAUUUUUAUAUUUUGUUAUAAGCAUAAUAUUUUUAGUUUGAGUGUACAAUUAGUUUGAUUGCACUAGAUAGAAAGGUCUCCAGGACAUGCAGAGCGCAGUAGCCUGACGUGCUGUUCCAGACAAUCUUAGGCAACACGUGCCUUACUCAACCAUGGACUAGGUAGCCCUGCACGCUCCAUGGCAGAGAAGACACUUUGCCCAGCAUAUUUCUUUAUUAUCUGAAUUUGACUGAAACAGAAAUCAAAUCGGUCUAUUUAGAUCAUCUAUAGCAGCAGCCAUGUGAUGUCAUCUGGAAACCAAUCAAUGGCUCUCAAUUAAUUCCUUCAUCACUUUCCAAUCCUGCUGCCCUGAGCGAGACUUGGAAAUCAAUACUCCUAGAACUACUGACCACAGAGGCCACUAA